rnacentral:rRNA from 1 species
UACGAAGGGGACUAGCGUUGUUCGGAAUCACUGGGCAUAAAGGGCGCGUAGGCGGCUCCAAAAGUCAGGGGUGAAAUCCGGCAGCUUAACUGUCGCAGUGCCUUUGAUACUGUGGAGCUAGAGGGAGGUAGGGGUCUGUGGAACUUCCGGUGGAGCGGUGAAAUGCGUUGAUAUCGGAAGGAACGCCGGUGGCGAAAGCGACGGACUGGAUCUCUUCUGACGCUGAGGCGCGAAAGCCAGGGGAGCAAACGGG